CUCACCCUGACAGUGUGGGCCUGUCCCAGCCGUACAGGAUUGGCCAGCUUGACCUGGAUCUGAGCACAGUGGAAGGAACCGAACACGCCCACCACCUCCAGCAGACCAUCAUCCAACCUGCAGCGGGAGACGGGAAUUCACCGUUAGUUGCCACGGUUUCCCGGAGCACUUGCUAUAAACACUUCACUCUAUCCCAAAUCAAAGACUGGCCCACCUGUCCAUUUUGACCACCUCGGCAUCAAGGAUGUUACGGAGAACCUGUUCCACAGGGAUCUCCCCAGCAUAGCCAGCACCCCAGCCUAAAGUGUUGGACAGGUCAUUUCCUGUCCCAAGAGGCAGGAUGGUCACCCUUGGCAUGAACUGGUCCUGGCCCUGACACAGGAGAGUAGAAGAGCAGCAGAGACAGUCCCAUCUGACCUUCAGCUUCAUAGUAUCGAUGGCAUCCAGCACCCAGCCCACUGUGCCGUCACCCCCACACACCAGCACCCGGACACUGCCGGGGGGCAGCAGGGUGCACAGCUGGAGGGCUUUGGAGGGAGUCAGCUCAGACAGGUCAAACACCUGAAGGAGAGGGGGGAGAGAAGACGGGUGGGAGUCAUGUUUUGUGCAGAAAUUGAAAAGGUCCCAUAAUGUAAAAAGUGAGAAUUCCAUCUAGUUUGUUUAUUAUAAAGCAGGUUGAGGUGCUAUAUAAAAAUACUGUUACAACUACG